rnacentral:rRNA from 1 species
GACGAACGCUGGCGGCGUGCCUAAUACAUGCAAGUCGAACGCAGUGGGGACGGGUGAGUAACACGUGGGUAACCUCCCAUCAGAGGGGAUAACACUUGGAAACAGGUGCUAAACCGAUACUGAUGGAUGGACCCGGGGUGCAUUAGCUAGUUGGGGAGGUAACGGGUCACCAAGGCCACGAUGCAUAGCCGACCUGAGAGGGUGAUCUGCCCAACUGGGACUGAGACACGGCCCAGACUUCUACGGGAGGGAGCAGUGGGGAAUCUUCGGCAAUUGACGAAAGUCUGACCGAGCAAAGCCGCGGGAGUGAAGAAGGUUUUCGGAUCGUAAAACUCGGUUGUUAGGGAAGCGGGAUCUAACCAGGAAGCCACGGCUAACUACGUGCCAGCAGCCGCGGUAAUAC